rnacentral:rRNA from 1 species
GGUGACGACAGCGCGAAGGAUCCACCUGUUCUCAUCUCGAACACAGAAGUUAAGCUUCGCUACGCCGAAAGUACUUGUCGGGCAACUGACCGGGAGGAUAGGUAGUUGCC